AGUGAACGCUGGCGGUAGGCCUAACACAUGCAAGUCGAACGGCAGCACAGUAAGAGCUUGCUCUUACGGGUGGCGAGUGGCGGACGGGUGAGGAAUACAUCGGAAUCUACUUUUUCGUGGGGGAUAACGUAGGGAAACUUACGCUAAUACCGCAUACGACCUACGGGUGAAAGCAGGGGAUCUUCGGACCUUGCGCGAUUGAAUGAGCCGAUGUCGGAUUAGCUAGUUGGCGGGGUAAAGGCCCACCAAGGCGACGAUCCGUAGCUGGUCUGAGAGGAUGAUCAGCCACACUGGAACUGAGACACGGUCCAGACUCAUACGGGAGGCAGCAGUGGGGAAUAUUGGACAAUGGGCGCAAGCCUGAUCCAGCCAUACCGCGUGGGUGAAGAAGGCCUUCGGGUUGUAAAGCCCUUUUGUUGGGAAAGAAAAGCAGCAGGUUAAUACCCCACUGUUCUGACGGUACCCAAAGAAUAAGCACCGGCUAACUUCGU
rnacentral:rRNA from 1 species